rnacentral:rRNA from 1 species
UGCAAGUCGAACGGAAAGGCCCUGCUUGCAGGGUACUCGAGUGGCGAACGGGUGAGUAACACGUGGGUGAUCUGCCCUGCACUUCGGGAUAAGCCUGGGAAACUGGGUCUAAUACCGGAUAGGACCAUCGUUUAGUGUCGGUGGUGGAAAGUUUUUUCGGUGUGGGAUGAGCUCGCGGCCUAUCAGCUUGUUGGUGGGGUAAUGGCCUACCAAGGCGUCGACGGGUAGCCGGCCUGAGAGGGUGGACGGCCACAUUGGGACUGAGACACGGCCCAGACUCCUACGGGAGGCAGCAGUGGGGAAUAUUGCACAAUGGGCGCAAGCCUGAUGCAGCGACGCCGCGUGGGGGAUGACGGCCUUCGGGUUGUAAACUCCUUUCAACCAUGACGAAGCUUUCGGGUGACGGUAGUGGUAGAAGAAGCACCGGCUAACUAC